UUUUUUUUUUUUUUUUAUGUCUUAAAAAAAAAGACGGCGAUUGGCCAACGCUGCUGAGUUUCAUAGUGGUUCUCCGCAUUGCAACAUUAUAAUCUAGUUUUUGUUUUUGACAUUAUUAGUGCUUGAAUGGUAUUCUAUUAUUGCAGGAUGGUUCUUAAUGCCCUCACUGAUCCACUUCAAUAUAGGACUAAAAUCUCUUAAUUUUUCAUUUGCCAUGAGAUGCCUGCUAUUGAUGUUGAUUGAUUGGUCCUGAUAUGGACUAUCUGACUUCUUAUAAAUAAUUAUUUUAAAAUUCUUCAUGGUGCUCAGAUAACUCAUUUCUCAUUGUUACUAAGCUAUGUGACUGGAAUUUAUUGAAAUACUGUUGCACUAGAAAGAUAUGAGAUGCAUAUGAUAGACAUGUAAUGCAAACUAAAACAUGGCUUGUCACAGUUUGGGAUAUUAUUGGAUUUGAAGCACUGUAAUUUGUGUCAAAUUACUUAUAUCUGUUUGUAGCUUUUAGUUGUAAGAUAGUGUUGGGAGCAUUGAUGAAUUGAGUUGCAGUUAUGUGUGUGGAGCAUUGAU
rnacentral:misc_RNA from 1 species